rnacentral:pre_miRNA from 1 species
AUAAUACUCCCUCCGUCCCAAAAUUCUUGUCUUAAAUUUAUCUACAUAUGAAUGUAUCUAGUCACAUUUUAGUAUUUACAUACAUCCAUUUCUAGACAAACUUAAGACAAGAAUUUUGGGACGGAGGGAGUAUUAC